UGAUUGGAAAAUGCGUGCUAUUGCAUUCUAAUGCACCAAUAAAAAGCACAAAAUAAAAUAUAAAUUGUAAUUAUUGAUCAAUAAAUAAAAUGUGAUUUUUUUUUGUUUAAAAGUAAAUUUUGAUAGAUUUCAUUUAAAUAAUAUCCAAAUAUUUAACUCAAUUAUAUUGGUUGAAUUGGUACUUUCUAACCUGCAAAUAAAAAUAUAUGCGUGCAUGACAAGAAAGAACGAAUUAUUGAAAACCGGAGUUUAUGUUAUGCAAGUUAGGACAUGGCUGGUAACUAUAGGAAUUUUUUGAAAUUGCUAGAAUCUUGGCCAUUAGAUAAGUCAAAACUGGGCAGGGAUUUAGGGCAACAUAUUCGUGAUCAAGUGAAACUUACUUUUUCAAAAGGUGCUAUUACUGCUCCAGUGGAUCAAGAACAAUGUGACCGAUAUUAUGGAAGUUUGAAAAGAAUCAUUUCUAAUCAUUAUGGACAAAUAUACACACGUAGUUUCAAAAGCACUGCAAGUGGCUUAACAGUAGAACAAUGUAAUAUUGCAUUAAGUCCUGAGAUGAAAGAAUAUCUUGAAGAAGAAAAUAAGUAUUUUGGUAUAAGACGUAUGAAGCUACAACAAAUUCAGCUCCAGCAGAUACAUAUAUGUCAUUAACAUCAAGUUUAAAACCUGUUGGAGCACCUUUGAUAGAUGGAUCUCCUGUUAAUGAAUUGGCUGUUUUUGCCAUGCAUAUAGGCGAUAACUGCAUCUGCCAAAUCUGCUGCACCUGCUCCACCAUCAGCCCAGUGAGUGCAGAUCACUGUAUCUACUGCACCACUCUCUGAUGACACUUUUUGGAUAAGCUGUAGUUCAGCUUCUGUAUCGCUGUUCCUGGGUUUACUACUGGACCACCACCAUGCAUUUUCAAGGCUCUUACAGUUGUAACAAGAACUACAGCAUUUGGUACGAGCCCAGAUGUUCUACACUUAAUAUCAAAGAAUUUUUCCAUGCCUAUAUCGGAACCAAAUCCAGCUUCUGUCACUACGAUACCAUUUGGUCCGACUAGUUUCAAUGCAAUAGCGUCUGCUAUUAUCGAGGAACAACCGUGUGCGAUAUUAGCGAAGGGACCAGCAUGAACCAUUACAGGUGUACCUUCCAAAGAUUGCAUAAGUGUUGGUUCGAUCGCAUCUUUCAGAAGGAUAACCAUUGCACCAGUCAUA
rnacentral:misc_RNA from 1 species